rnacentral:rRNA from 1 species
GUGGACGCCAGUCUGCGUGGAGCCGACCUUGAAAUACCACCCUUUAAUGUUUGAUGUUCUAACGUGGACCCGUAAUCCGGGUUGCGGACAGUGUCUGGUGGGUAGUUUGACUGGGGCGGUCUCCUCCUAAAGAGUAACGGAGGAGCACGAAGGUUGGCUAAUCCUGGUCGGACAUCAGGAGGUUAGUGCAAUGGCAUAAGCCAGCUUGACUGCGAGCGUGACGGCGCGAGCAGGUGCGAAAGCAGGUCAUAGUGAUCCGGUGGUUCUGAAUGGAAGGGCCAUCGCUCAACGGAUAAAAGGUACUCCGGGGAUAACAGGCUGAUACCGCCCAAGAGUUCAUAUCGACGGCGGUGUUUGGCACCUCGAUGUCGGCUCAUCACAUCCUGGGGCUGAAGUAGGUCCCAAGGGUAUGGCUGUUCGCCAUUUAAAGUGGUACGCGAGCUGGGUUUAGAACGUCGUGAGACAGUUCGGUCC